rnacentral:rRNA from 1 species
UACGUAGGGUGCGAGCGUUGUCCGGAAUUACUGGGCGUAAAGAGCUCGUAGGUGGUUUGUCGCGUUGUUCGUGAAAACUCACAGCUCAACUGUGGGCCUGCAGCCGAUACGGGCAAGCUAGAAUUCGGUAGGGGAGACUGGAAUUCCUGGUGUAGCGGUGAAAUGCGCAGAUAUCGAGGAGGAACGAACCGGCUGGCGAAGGCGGGAUCGUCAUCGGGCCGGCAUAUUGACGCUCAUGCACGAAAGCGUGGGGAGCAAACAGG